rnacentral:rRNA from 1 species
GUGCACGCUGGCGGUAGGCCUCACACCUGCAAGUCGCACGGCAGCACAGUAAGAGCUUGCUCUUACGGGUGGCGAGUGGCGGACGGGUGAGGAAUACAUCGGAAUCUACUUUUUCGUGGGGGAUAACGUAGGGAAACUUACGCUAAUACCGCAUACGACCUACGGGUGAAAGCAGGGGAUCUUCGGACCUUGCGCGAUUGAAUGAGCCGAUGUCGGAUUAGCUAGUUGGCGGGGUAAAGGCCCACCAAGGCGACGAUCCGUAGCUGGUCUGAGAGGAUGAUCAGCCACACUGGAACUGAGACACGGUCCAGACUCCUACGGGAGGCAGCAGUGGGGAAUAUUGGACAAUGGGCGCAAGCCUGAUCCAGCCAUACCGCGUGGGUGAAGAAGGCCUUCGGGUUGUAAAGCCCUUUUGUUGGGAAAGAAAAGCAGCAGGUUAAUACCCCGCUGUUCUGACGGUACCCAAAGAAUAAGCACCGGCUAACUUCGUG